rnacentral:misc_RNA from 1 species
GGCUUUUCAAUUUUUUCAAACCAGAAAAGAAAAACUGGUUUCUCCGACGCUGGUUAGGAGUUGGAGCCCUAGCUUUCUUCCACUAAGAGCAGCGUACACGUACACUCCAACCUUCAAAUCUUGGUUGUCCACUCACCGCUUGCCCCAGCAACACACGGUUAUUGCUUCUCCUCCAUUCAGGUAAUGCUGCACUCUUCUCUUCUCUGUUUGGCCUCUUAAGUUCAACGGAAGCGUAUCCAACUUUUUGAUGCAAAUUUCUAUGUUGGUUUGUUGUAUUUUCCCGAGAAAUUGAGAAUCAAAUGGAGGUUACAAUUUCAUUUCUCAGCAAUUUAACAUCUUUUCAUUACCAUUUUUUCAAUUUCAGAUAGUUGAACUCUCGAUUGAGCUGUCUCUGCCUUCUGGACAGUGCUUCUGUGUGUUUUAUUUGGGGGUCUAUUUGAGAAAUGAAUUUGAAGCGGUUAGUUAAUAGUCGAACUGUAAACUACGUAUCAAGGUUCAAUGGAAGAUUGCUGUAUAUGUACCCAUAUUGUAUUAGCAGAGAUUUCUCUGCCAUUUCAGCCUCUGCCCCUCCUUCCAUUUAUUCCUCAAGCAUUGAUGACCGAACUCUUGCCCAUAGCCCUAAUUUCUCAAAACAUAAUUUUCUCUUUAAGAGAUGCUUGCACUCUGCUCAACAAACUACGCUAAGAGAAUUGAGCUUUAAGCCAAAAUUCAAUUUUAAAGAUUCUGAAGAGGAUGAUGGAACCAUGAAUGAGUUCUUAUCACGAUUUGUGUGGAUAAUGCGUGGGAAGUUAUCUGAAGUGUAUGUAGAUUGUGAUAAACAGACAAUUGACAGUAUGCUUUUAAUUAUAGUUGAUAAAGUUGUGUCGGAGUUGGAAAAGGGUAGCCUAGAGCGGAUGCUUGGUGCCACAGUGGCCAUCCCAUCAGAGGAUUUCAGUGAGGAUUUGUGGAAAACAGUGUGGGAAGUGAGUAAUUCAGUGCUGGAGGAUAUGGAAAAGGAAAGGAAGAAGGAAAAGAUGAAGGGUUUUUUGCAGUCUGAGGAGGUAAAGGGAAUGUGCAGGUUUGCUGGUGAGAUUGGUAUCCGUGCGGACAUGCUGAGAGAGCUCAGAUUCAAAUGGGCUCGUGAAAAGAUGGAAGAGAGUGAGUUUUAUGCGAGUUUGGAGAAACUUAGAGAAGAAGAAAGAGCCCAAGAAAAAGAGGAAACAGAUGGCAAGAAUGCUGAGACCAUGAGUGAAAUGGCUAUAAUGGGUGAGGAGAAACCAAAGUUCAUAUCCCUUCCUAAGAGACAUGGAAAGAUUAGAUACAAGAUUUAUGGACUUGAUCUUUCUGAUCCAAAGUGGGCUCAAGCUGCUGAGACGAUUAUUUCGUCCGAGGAACCUAAGCCAAUACAUGGUAAAAGUAAAUUGGUCACUGAGAAAAUUCUUUCACUGAGAGAGGGGGAUGACCCUUCCCCACUGCUGGCUGAAUGGGUAGAGCUUCUACAACCUAGCAGGGUUGAUUGGUUGACUUUGCUUGAUAAGUUGAAAGAAAAGAAUAUGUCCUUAUAUUUUAAGGUAGCUGAAAUUUUGUUGAGUGAAAAAUCUUACCAACCAAAUGUUCAUGACUAUUAUGUGCUCAUUGAUUCCCAUGCUGAAAAGAACUGCUUAGAAGAUAUUGAGAGGAUUCUUAAGAAAAUGAAUGAAAAUGGUAUUCAACCUGAUAUUUUAAUAGCCAAAGCUUUAGCGCACUUGCACUGCAAGGCAGGCAAUCCAGACCGUGCUAAAGCAAUAUUCGAAGGCCUGAGGAGCAAUGGUUUCAAACAGGAUAUGACGGUCUACAAUACAAUGAUCAUGGCAUAUGUUAAUGCUGGCCAACCCAAGUUGGGUGAGUCAUUGAUGAGGGAGAUGGAGGCGGAAGACAUGAAACCUACAGAGGAGAUUUGCAUGGCAUUGCUUCGCUCAUUUGCACAACGUGGUGAUGUUGGUGGAGCUGGUCGAAUUGCAACGACCAUGCAGUUUGCUGGAUUUCAGCCAAAUUUGGAGUCUUGUGCAUUGCUUGUUGAAGCACAUGCACAAGCAGGUGAUCCUGAUCAGGCGAGGAGCAAUUUUAACUAUAUGAUAAAAGUUGGACAUAGGCCUGAUGACAGGUGCACUGCUAUCAUGAUUGCAGCUUAUGAGAAGAAGAAUUGGUUGGAUAAGGCCUUAGACCUUUUGUUGCAACUUGAGAAGGAUGGGUUUGAGCCAGGACCUGCUACUUGCACUGUUCUUGUUGAUUGGUUGGGUAAAUUGCAGUUGGUUGAUGAGGCUGAGCAAUUAUUGGGUAAGAUUUCUGAGCAGGGUGAAACUCCUACUUUUAAGAUUCAUAUAAGCCUAUGUGAUAUGUAUGCAAGAGCUGGAAUUGAGAAAAAGGCUCUUCAAGCCCUGGGGGUUCUGGAAUCUAAGAAGGAGCAGUUGGGAUUGGAUGAUUUUGAGAGGGUUAUAUAUGGGCUUAUUGCAGUAGGUUUUGUGCAGGAUGCUUAUAGGUUCCAUGGGCUGAUGGAGGCUCAGGGCUUCACUGCGUCAGAGCAUCUAAAGGUGGCCUUAAUGGCAUCCCAAGCUUUCAGCCGCAGGUGACCAACAAUGUUAUAGUUUGGCAAUCAUGAUUCCCAAUCCUUUGGUUGCCAGAGAUAAUCAAGAAAAAUGGUUUGGUAGUUGUCUGCAGAAUUAAAUAUACUUCAUAAGGGAAUGUGAUUGACAAAAGAGCAACAGGUAACCUCUUCAAUGCCUUACCAUCUCAAGCCUCACAAGUAAGUUUUGCCAUGAUUUUUACGGUCAUGUUGUUUUAAGGCAUAAACUUGUUUUAGUAAUUAUGCUGUGACCAUUUGUAAUAAUUAUUUGAAAGAGCUAGGUUGUUUUAUUGCGUAUUAGCUGAACAUAUGGUUUUGAGCGUAAAUUUAUAUCUUUACGUGUUGGAUGCCCCAACUCCCUUCAUCUCUUCCACACAUGAUUCAUAUCUGCAUGCACACUCACAGACUUUAAGCACAUAAUUCAAAUUUUCCUUUAUUGAUCUUAUGUUUUCUUGGGUUGGCAUCACAGACUUGCAAGCAUGGGCAUGUGUGAGCAUAUCACGCACUUACAUUCAUAUUUUUGCAUACUUCAUAAUUCAUAUUUGAGAAAAUAUGGUCCCAACAUGUUUUAGAAACCAAAUUUAUCCCUUGCUUCUAUUUGGAAUUUAGAGUAUAAAUCAAAAUCAUGAUGCAACGCAAUUUUAGGGAAUAUUAACCCUUGGACAAGGUUGCUUUCAGAUAGAGACAUUAUUACAAUUUAAUAGUAUUCUCCUAUAGUAAAUUAUAGGGAAUAUUAACCCUUUAAUAGUAUUUUUAUACUACACAUUAUAAAUUGAAUUUAGUAGCAAAAUUGCUUCAAUUUUAUUUUUUAAACAUUGUAGAAAACCUACAUCCUUGACAGCUUCAUAUACCGUGUUGUUGGUGUGGCACCAGAGCCAAGACAUAGUGUUUACCUCUCCCUUUGUCAUUAUCAGCCACUGUUAAAUCCUCCAUUCCCUUCUCUGGCAUGGGAGAUGAGUUGACACAUCCAACUCAAUUCAACUCAACUAAGCGCAUAUAUAUUCUCUUUCUCCAUUCUAUGAUUUUGGGAUAAAUCCUAAAAAAUACUUAAUGCUUCUAGGUCAUGUUGUGCUACUAUGUUGUACUACUAUUCUUCAAGUGAGUUUAGGUCAUAAAAUAAGAUGAUUAACAUAAAAUAUGAACAGAGCCAAAGUAAGAUGAUUAGCAUAUACAGUACACCAAAAUCAUGAUCUGAGUAGAAUGUAGAAGUAAUUCACAUUUGCUGCUUCCCGGGAAGUUUUGUCAAAAGGGACUGUAAGCUAUCAAGCCUCGUUCCUAAUAUUGUAAUCUUCCUCCUUAUAGCAGAUGCAUGACGCUGUGUUUCGGGCCCUGAUGCUGGAAAAGAACUCCUUUCUGCAAUCAUACCAUUGAUAUCCUCUGCAAGCUUUGCAGCUUCAUUAUGUUCCUUCAUCCAUGGGUCUGUAGAUGAUGCCAUUUUACCUAAAUGAUAACUUAGCUAAUCAACAGAUAAUCUUAAUAAAUAUCAAUUCAAGGUGAUUUGGAAAAAAACAAAAUGAAGCUCAAUUUCUAUAGCACCUUGUCCAAUUGCCGUAAAACGUAAUUUUAUUUCGUUCUCUAAUUUCCUCUAUGUUCUCAAAGAUCUUAAGAAUUACAGCUUAAAAUGUAACAAAUACUAGCGGAUCUCAAAAUCUUCUCCAAUAUAAAGCCAAACCAUAGUUAUCUAAAAAUUUCACAACAUCAAUUUCGACCAAAAUUUACAAAUUUCCAAAAACUAACCAAAUAAGGAGGAAAAAAUCAAUCGCAAAACCCAAAAAUUGAGACCAUAUCCACCUCUUGAUAAGCUUAACAGAUAAAAUAUUAAAUAAUUCUGUUGCUCAUAAAAACGCAUAAAAAAAAAACCUAAAGAUUUUGUCGAAUUCAGCAUAAACACGAUCGGAUUACAACUUUAC